CUACGGGGCGCACCAGUGAGGAAUAUUGCACAAUGGAGGAAACUCUGAUGCAGCAACGCCGCGUGGAGGAUGACGCAUUUCGGUGUGUAAACUCCUUUUAUAUGUCAAGAAAAUGACGGUAGCAUAUGAAUAAGCUCCGGCUAACUCCGUGCCAGCAGCCGCGGUAAUACGGAGGGAGCAAGCGUUACUCGGAAUCACUGGGCGUAAAGGACGCGUAGGCGGGAUAGAAAGUCAGGUGUGAAAUCCUAUGGCUCAACCAUAGAACUGCACUUGAAACUUCUAACCUAGAGUAUGGGAGGGGAAGAUGGAAUUAGUGGUGUAGGGGUAAAAUCCGUAGAUAUCACUAGGAAUACCAAAAGCGAAGGCGAUCUUCUGGAACAAUACUGACGCUAAGGCGUGAAAGCGUGGGGAGCAAACAGGAUUAGAUACCCCUGUAGUC
rnacentral:rRNA from 1 species